UAGAAAAAGGGAGGGAAGGUAUUAUGUGGAGCCCACAUGACGUCAUAAGAUGGUUGAGAGCCACUAGGUGGAAACUUUUGGUACUUUUAGAAAAAAAAUUGAUGGUAAUUUUCAAAAAAAAAAAUAAUGGUACGUGGUAUUUGCUUAAAUGGAAACAAUAGUAAUUGGUAGUUCUCAAAAUUUCCUUUUUGUAAAAAGAAAAUUAAAGGGUAUCCACGUGAAACACUAGGACUUACUUUAAGAAGUAGUAGUUUGACUCCAAUUAUGCUAUUUACAUGUUAGUAUAAUUUUUUUUUUUAAAUAUUAUUGUAUCCCGGGACCUACCAUGACUAAAGGUGAGUCCGCCCUUGCCUGCAACAUAUCCCUACCAAUUAAAAAGUGACAACUUGUCAAACAUGAAAGAAAUAGUGUUAUGAGUGUGUAGCCAAUGAAAAAUAUUGUUCAUAAGCUUGGGAAAAAUUAGAGUUUGGGUUUCUUGCAUUUAGGUGCAAUUUCGUUUCAUUUGUUGAGUCACCAAAUGAUACUUUUCCCCUGAUUUCCUCCCUUCCAUUCAUUUCCCCUCGUUCACGCUCUUCUUCCUCUUCCUCUUUCAUUUGAGUUUUCUGAUUUUAUUAAAAAUAAAAUUUCUCUCCUCCCACUCUCUAUAAUCUAUUUUUCCACCAUUAAAGGUGUACUAUGAGCCUUCUCUACUACAUUGACGCAAAUUCUACAUUAAGAUGUUUUAUCAAGUGAUGAAAUUAUAAGUUUGAAUUAGUAAAAUGCAAUUUAAUUAAGAUUUGUAUUGUGGAAUUUCAGCUUCUUUUUUUUUUUUUUUUUUUUUUUUAUCAAUCACCGAAUAUCAUUUCCGCAAUAGAGUUCAUUCUUAAUUGAUUUUUCACUAUCAAUUUAGGGAAGAAAUCACAUUAAGAUUUCAUUCCUCCUUCCUGGACUAGGUUGGCUUGCAAUGCCUCUGCCCUUUCAUUUUUCCUCCAACAAAUGGUGGCAUCUUCAGGCCGGUGUUCUCGCGGCGGUGGUAGUUUCAACGGUUGUGGUGGUCCAACUUUAGUAUAUAGUACGUCAUUGAUGAUUAAUUCGGCAGAAAUUUGAAAGGGAUGUGGUCUUUGCUUCCUCAUGAGAACGCUACUGAUGGGCCUGCAUGUCCUAUUAGAAUGAGGGCACAUCAGAAUAUCCCCUUAAUAAUUAAAUUCACAUAAGUACUGUAAUUCAAGGAUCUGAUAAUUUGAAAUGAGCUGGUCCCCAUUAGGGUAUUGGAACAGAGUAAGAAGUAGUGCAGUUUCAUUCCUUUAUUUACUACGAGUAAUAACUUGUAUAAAGGAAGUAGAGGCUCAAAAUAUUAUUUUAGGCUUCCCCUUUUGAUGACUCUAGCACUAAGGCUAUUGUGUAUAGCAUUGGAGGUAAGGCUGUAAAGUUGAGAUAGGAAGCAUCAGGUUGAUCCAUUUGUCUAUUUUAUAGUUUCUGGAAAUCUUGGGACCAAUCCUUGCUAUGAUAGUGAUGAUUUCUCUUUGCAUGAAGUGGAUAAUUGCUUCAUUGCUUAAUGUUGGUAAAACCAAGAAUCAUACAUGCCUCUGGAACUUAAUUGGUGAUGAUAAUUAUAUAUUUAAGUUUCAUGUGCAUUGAUUUUGAGUUUUUCUUUAAUUUUGGACUUGUAACCUGUAUGCAUUAUAUGCGUGCUUUUAUCAACUUUAUCUUUGGGCUUGUUUGCAAGUCUUGGAAGGCGGACCCUCUCCCCUCUUAUAAGCCCUGUUCUACCACUGAUUUUUAUAAUUUUGUGAUUAUAUGAGAUGGAAUUGAAAAGCUAAUGGUCAACAAUCAGGUAUAACCGUAUAACCCAUUUCCGUAGUUUUUUUCAUUUGCAAAAAUAUAUUUUUGUUUGAAUUGAAGCAUUAUUUGUUUGAUUAAUUGAGGUAAAAGUGAAAUCUGAAACUUUGAUGAAUUUAGUAUCUGGGCUUUCAUUUUUAAUUUAGUGUUGAAUUAGGUGUUGAUUAUAAUAUCUGUUUGUAUGAGGAGUUAUAGGAAUUGAAGUGAAAAGGUUAAUGGCCAGUGAAAGAGGGAAAGGACAACAUUAAGUGAGUUUCACGAUUCUCCAAGGCUGUUUUCGGUAUCCUUUAAUUCUUUGGCUGUAUUUAGGAAGGAGUUGGAAAAAGAGAGAGGGUUCAUUGAAAGAUACAUGAAGCUUCAAGAACAAGGGAAAACUGAGCAUGCAGAGAAAGACUUAGGUUUGUGCAGGAAUUUGUGAAAGCUCAAAAGACGAGCUUUUUUAACAAUUCUAAGUCAAGUUCAAGAGAAGGCAUGGUACAUUGUUUGUUUGAUGAUUGUUUCUUAGGUUGUGCUCCGGCUUUUGUUUUUUGAUUUGUGUAUUUCUUUAGAGGAUAUAUAAGUAAUACUUGCCAUUCUGAUGCUGGUACUUGGUGAAGCUAAUUCUAACGAAAUUCACUUAAUUAUUAAGAUUAUACUUUAGGCAUAGGGAAUUAAGAUUAAGAAAAUUGGUACAAAGAUUAAUUGGGGCCCUUUUUGCCCAUUACAGAUGGCCUUUUUUCCACUAGUGUGAACUAAGAUUAAAUUGGUUGUUUAAUAUGAUUCUAUGGGUUAUAUUAUUAAGUUAGUUUUUAGAUUCUUAGGUGAAUAGGGUUUGUUUCGAGUAAAGUGGACCGCGAGGCAUGAGUGCUUUGGAUUGCCGAUAAUAGGUCAAGAAUUUAGGUUUUGGAACCUUCAGUUUGAUAUACAAUGGAAUACGAACCUUCAUUAUGGAACAUUGUUUAGUUGAGUGGAUUCUUCAAUCAUCUAAUUAAGGAAGUGCAAAUGUUGUGGUGGCCGGGAGGAGGGGGAAAGGAAAAGUAUGAAAGUAAUAGAGAGGGUGAAACAAGUAAGACUCAAGUACGAAGAAGGGAAUAAGGAAAUAAAAGAAAAAGGGGAUAAGGAAUUUGAUGCUGAAGAUAAGAGAGAGAGGAUGGAGCAUGUAGAACUAAGCUAACUAAAAAUAUUUAACCAUAAAAGAAGAUAUAUGGAGAGAAGAAUUGUGAGCAAGAAAGUGGGGAAAAGGAAAAAAAAACGGGGAAUGUGUAGGAGAUGAGGAAAAGGGAUUUAAAAAGA